GGGCGUGGCCACGUGGUGGCCAGGGGGGGCCACGGCCACCAUUGGUCAGAGAAUGACCACCCUGCCGGCCCCCCCAACCUCACGGCACGGCAAAAAAAAAAAAAUACAAAAAACCCACCUGAAUAGAAACGGUAUAAAGCUGAAAUAAGUGCAUUCAUAUUUUUUUUAUCAAGUCGUCUUAUAUUGUCAUUUGCCAUAUUUGCAACAUGUUGGGCCACGCCUCCAUCAACAGCGCAAGACACAAACCAACGGGCCGGCAUUCUGACAGCGCUUCAAUGGAGACUAGCAGCUAACCACUGGAUACCACUGUAACUAACAGACAUUUCCAAGUCCAGGGGUGAAGCUCCAGCGCAACCUCAACUAAAUUUCCCCAAGACACUCCAGGGAAACCGAAACAGGAGCUUCAAGGGUGACUGGUAUGUAGUCCACCCCUGGUUAGAAUACUCCAUAAGUGAAGACUCUACCUCUAACAAACAAAAAAGAGAAUUAUGUAAAAUGAUUUACAUGGAUCUACCUACACUCACUGACUCACUCACUCACACACACACACACACACACACACACACAAGCAAACAAAGCGUGCCCCUUGUAGACCUGGUUUGUCAGUGCUCUGUUUUCAUUCAGCACCACAAUCUGUUUGAUGUAGUAAGCUAGUGAUAUUGUUCACUGUUUGUAGUGAUACUGUUCAAUGUACAUUAUACAUAUUGUUGAUAUUUUUUUUCUUUA